rnacentral:rRNA from 1 species
AUUGAACGCUGGCGGCAGGCCUAACACAUGCCAGUCGAACGGUAACAGGAAGAAGCUUGCUUCUUUGCUGACGAGUGGCGGACGGGUGAGUAAUGUCUGGGAAACUGCCUGAUGGAGGGGGAUAACUACUGGAAACGGUAGUUAAUACCGCAUAACGUCGCAAGACCAAAGAGGGGGACCUUCGGGCCUCUUGCCAUCGGAUGUGCCCAGAUGGGAUUAGCUAGUAGGUGGGGUAACGGCUCACCUAGGCGACGAUCCCUAGCUGGUCUGAGAGGAUGACCAGCCACACUGGAACUGAGACACGGUCCAGACUCCUACGGGAGGCAGCAGUGGGGAAUAUUGCACAAUGGGCGCAAGCCUGAUGCAGCCAUGCCGCGUGUAUGAAGAAGGCCUUCGGGUUGUAAAGUACUUUCAGCGGGGAGGAAGGGAGUAAAGUUAAUACCUUUGCUCAUUGACGUUACCCGCAGAAGAAGCACCGGCUAACUCCGUG